UACGUAGGGGGCAAGCGUUGUCCGGAAUCAUUGGGCGUAAAGCGCGUGUAGGCGGCUUGGUAAGUCCGCUCUGAAAGCCCGGGGCUCAACCCCGGGAGGCGGGUGGAUACUGUCAAGCUCGAGUCCGGAAGAGGCGAGUGGAAUUCCUGGUGUAGCGGUGAAAUGUCGCAGAUAUCAGGAGGAACACCAAUGGCGAAGGCAGCUCGCUGGGACGUGACUGACGCUGAGACGCGAAAGCGUGGGGAGCAAACAGG
rnacentral:rRNA from 1 species